rnacentral:rRNA from 1 species
AGUUUGAUCCUGGCUCAGGAUGAACGCUAGCUACAGGCUUAACACAUGCAAGUCGAGGGGCAGCAUUUUAGUUUGCUUGCAAACUAAAGAUGGCGACCGGCGCACGGGUGAGUAACACGUAUCCAACCUGCCGAUAACUCGGGGAUAGCCUUUCGAAAGAAAGAUUAAUAUCCGAUGGUAUAUUAAAACCGCAUGGUUUUACUAUUAAAGAAUUUCGGUUAUCGAUGGGGAUGCGUUCCAUUAGUUUGUUGGCGGGGUAACGGCCCACCAAGACUACGAUGGAUAGGGGUUCUGAGAGGAAGGUCCCCCACAUUGGAACUGAGACACGGUCCAAACUCCUACGGGAGGCAGCAGUGAGGAAUAUUGGUCAAUGGACGAGAGUCUGAACCAGCCAAGUAGCGUGAAGGAUGACUGCCCUAUGGGUUGUAAACUUCUUUUAUAUGGGAAUAAAGUAUUCCACGUGUGGGAUUUUGUAUGUACCAUAUGAAUAAGGAUCGGCUAACUCCGUGCCAGCAGCCGCGGUAAUACGGAGGAUCCGAGCGUUAUCCGGAUUUAUUGGGUUUAAAGGGAGCGUAGGUGGAUUGUUAAGUCAGUUGUGAAAGUUUGCGGCUCAACCGUAAAAUUGCAGUUGAAACUGGCAGUCUUGAGUACAGUAGAGGUGGGCGGAAUUCGUGGUGUAGCGGUGAAAUGCUUAGAUAUCACGAAGAACUCCGAUUGCGAAGGCAGCUCACUAGACUGCAACUGACACUGAUGCUCGAAAGUGUGGGUAUCAAACAGGAUUAGAUACCCUGGUAGUCCACACAGUAAACGAUGAAUACUCGCUGUUUGCGAUAUACAGUAAGCGGCCAAGCGAAAGCAUUAAGUAUUCCACCUGGGGAGUACGCCGGCAACGGUGAAACUCAAAGGAAUUGACGGGGGCCCGCACAAGCGGAGGAACAUGUGGUUUAAUUCGAUGAUACGCGAGGAACCUUACCCGGGCUUAAAUUGCAUUUGAAUAAUCUGGAAACAGGUUAGCCGCAAGGCAAAUGUGAAGGUGCUGCAUGGUUGUCGUCAGCUCGUGCCGUGAGGUGUCGGCUUAAGUGCCAUAACGAGCGCAACCCUUAUCUUUAGUUACUAACAGGUUAUGCUGAGGACUCUAGAGAGACUGCCGUCGUAAGAUGUGAGGAAGGUGGA